AUCUACAGCCAUACCACCCUGAACACACCUAAUCUUGUCUGAUCUUGGAAGCUAAGCAGGGUCUGGUCUGGUUAGUACUUGGAUGGGAGAAAAAUGAUAUCUGUAGGAA
ensembl:rRNA 5S_rRNA 5S ribosomal RNA